GUGGAGCUCUAGAGUCCUCAACAGCCACUCCCCUGAACGAAAAAAAGUCAACUCAAUAAUUCCAAAACUAUUGAUCAAGAGUUGUCUUGCUAAAGCAUUUAUGUUCAUCGUGUCAUGAAAAUGAGGAAAGAGAAGCUUAUGAAUGGGGUGAAGCACACUUAGUUGCCUAUUUGUUGCAAUCACAAAUGACUCGAUCACCGCAUGCGUAUUCAACCUGAGAAGGAAAGACAGUCAACGCAAGAAUUCCGCCACCAUUGA